CAUUUAUUCACCAGGCAGAUACUUUUCAUCUUUAACUGCUACUCAGGGCCUUCAGCUCCUCACUCGCAUCGCAGAAACUCAGCAAACAUGUACUUCCAUGGUGAAGAAUUCUCACGGAUUUUUCACCAGAGAGACAGUUAAUCUUCAACUGCUGCUCAGGCGUCACUCACGCUGCAGAAACUAAGCAGGCAACAGACGGAUGCUUCAGACAGAGGGCUUGGGGCAGUACUUUUGCAGAUGGUGGAGGGGGAGGAGUGCCCGGUGCUGUACAUUAGCCGCAAGCUCUCGCUGAGGGAGAUUAAGUACAGCACCGUAGAGAAGGAGUGUCUCGCCAUCAAGUGGGCGGUCCUCACUCUCCAGUACUACAUGUUGGGGCGGGCCUUCACCCUCUGCUCGG